rnacentral:rRNA from 1 species
UACGUAGGGUGCGAGCGUUAAUCGGAAUUACUGGGCGUAAAGCGUGCGCAGGCGGUUUUGUAAGCCAGAUGUGAAAUCCCCGGGCUUAACCUGGGAAUGGCAUUUGGGACUGCAAGGCUGGAGUACGGCAGAGGGAGGUGGAAUUCCAGGUGUAGCAGUGAAAUGCGUAGAUAUCUGGAGGAACACCGAUGGCGAAGGCAGCCUCCUGGGCUAGUACUGACGCUCAUGCACGAAAGCGUGGGGAGCAAACAGG